rnacentral:sRNA from 1 species
AUCUCUUUUUCCUCGUUCUCCCCUUCUCUCCCUCACGGCUCACGCUCUCCCAGUGCCGCCGCUUCUUAGGCAGCGCCGGCGACGCCGCCGCUCUCCCUAGCGCCGGCUACCGCGCCCCACUCCGGCGACCCCUCAAGCAGAUGUCCCGCAGCCGCGAAUCGGUUUAUUGGCUCCACGCUUCUCUGCCCCUAAGCUAACCCCAGCCACCAGUCUCCUGCUGCUGCUGCCGCCGUGGAGAUGGCUGGUGGAAACACAGCGCAACUCCGGUGGCUGCAUCCCUUUCCCCCAUAGGAUCUACUCUCCUCCCCUAUUUUAAUUUUUUGGUUACCUCGGUUGAUUCUACCGUGAUUGAAAAAUGUGUGGUUCAGCUCCUCCUCCAGAACUCCAAGUCUUCUCUUCUACUGCUGCUCUUCUGGAUCUAAGGUGAUUUUGCUAGAACUGAGCUUCUCCACCUUGAGCUUGACUGAUUGUUUCCCCCCUCUUGAACUGAACCCCCAUGCUCUACUUGGAACUCAGGUAAUUCUCCUCCUUGGCUCUUGCUCUACUGGUAAUAUUUGACUGCUUCCUGACAUCUUCCUUGAUCUGCUUCUGGUGAUUCUCUUCCUCCUCUUCAGACUGAUCCUCUUGCUUGAUUUUCGCUCCAUCUUGCUUCUUGACCUGAGUUUCAUCUCUUCCUAGAGCUGAAACCCUUCUUCAUCCAAGAACUAAACAACCCUGCUUCUCCUUCAGAUUUGGUUUUCCUCUCUCUGAUUACUUGGCCAUGGUUACUACUACUGUUGGUUCAUGUAUUGGUUUGAGCUGGACUUCAGUUGAGCUAUUUCUCUCUGGGUGGAGCUAACACUUAAGCUAAUUUUUCCUGGAGCUUGGUUCUAUGGUUGUAACUACUACUGCCGCAGCUGCUGCUUGUUUUGGUUUGCACGACCAACCCGAGACUUGGGUUGGAAAUGAUUCACACAAAUUAUUUUAUCAAUGAUAAAUAUUGUACUGGUGAUUCACCUGCUUGCAUGGCUAUUCCCAUCCUGUACUUGUGACACCUCAACAUGGCUUGUUCGGUGGGAUAACCUAAAGCUAUUUGUUAAUUUCCUUAAUUAAUGGAAA